UUGAAGCAUGUACCCUGAGCGCUUAACAACAUGACAAAAUCCUUUGACCCAACAGACUGACCUGUCGUUUGUAAGACAGAUUAAUCCCCAUGGAUGGUCACAGGGUCAGGGGCACUGCUGAACUGCAGCUCUGUGAGGCUGAGAGCACAAUCAGAACUUCUCACUCACAGUCUGGCAAGAAGAAACAGCUGUGCCAAGCAUCAUGCUUGCCAAGGAAGGCUAAUGGGCAGUGUCUCAGACUCUGUACUAAGCUGUCUGUCUGGAAAUACUUCUGCUGUGAACCUCAGCAUCUCAAAUGCUGAUACACUGGAAUCAGUGUACCAGUCCUGGCUGGGUGGUCCUGUGUCUGCAGCAAGAAUGUGUGCAUGUGCCAGAGGGGCGGUACAGAAAAGGAAAGGAUGUCAAGAUCAUCAGCUACUGUGGUUGGAGCAUACCAGCCUGUGCAGUCAGUGGGAUUUGUGUGAUUUAUGCAACAUUUUCACUCUCCAGAGAUCCCAGAGUAGGUUCUGCCUGGGUAGCAAUGCCUACAGCAGCCUUUCUGAGAGGGGAUAGGACUGCGCUGGCUGAGAACUUCCCUGCAGUCAAUAUCAACAAUAACAAGAAUGACAAUCCACCUGCAAAAUACCUGGUCACCAGUGGAGGGGUUUGCAAAGAGAGAACACAGAAAGAACGUACAAGACUAUGUCAAGUCUCUAAGACGUGCGUCUUGUGGAUUUUCAGGACCUGCAAGUGCCAUUCUGCCACCUGACUGAGUCAUUGACCCAAAAUACUCACUGACUUCUCUGGGAAAUACUUAUCCUGGUACAUACAAAAUUCUUCAGUUUCUGAAGGAAAUAGCAAAGCUCCAGAUGACAGACACAGAAAACACUGGUUCCCAUGAAAAUUUAGUAAGUACUAAAAGACAUCAAGAUGUAGAAGAAAUCAGUGGAAGUCAAGGUCACUUACAAGAUGGUGGAAAUGCUUGCGCUCUCUCAGUCCAUUUCCCCCAUGUAUUUCUGUGAAAAGAUGUGGCCAAAAUCUGAGUUUCUUAUCUGUUGGGCUGAUGAUAAUACUAAAAAAUACUAAGCUAUACCUAAAAAUGCAGAAAGGUUUUGGUAUUUUUUGAGCAAAACCCAAGACAAAUGAGGGGAGUCCCUGUCAUUGUGCAUCCUGCUCCUGGUUCUACGUGUCACCCUGUGUCAAACUGGUUCAGAACUUGUAAUUACUGUCUAUAAGUCAGAAAGUCUCAGUUGGUAUUCUGCUCAUUUCUUCAUUCGUAAUGAAUCACAAUUAGAAAAAAAUAAUAGCUCAGUUAUACUGAAUAGAACGUAAGCCACAGACUCCCAUAUCUCACUAGAAGAGCAAACUAAUAUAUAUUGGUCCUGACAGUUUCCUUGCAUUUCAAAUGGGAGAAAAAAAAAAAAAAAAAAAAGAAAGAAAAAAAAAAAGAGGAAAAAAGUUUAGGAUCAUUUUAUCAUUUUGUCUUCUUCCAACAGAUUGUAUCAUUACUUAAUGACAAAACUUCUUGAGUAAUUUUAGUGGAUAUAUUUUCCAGUGAGCCUACUUUUGUUUCAGUGUAAUAAUUUAUUUGAUUAGGCUUUUUUUGAAUGUUAUUAGAAACUAUCUUGCAAACCAUCUGUUUAAACAGACCUCAACCCAAGAUUUAUCACUAUUCUAUUCACAGGAGUUUUCAGGUAAUUCUUCUGCUAUUGGUCUCUGAAGUCAUGACAUUGUUGAUCUACCUUGAUUUUUUCUUUAUUUGCAUAAUUGCAUAAGGGAAAUCCAUUUCCUUUUGAAACAAAUAUAAUGUAGAUCUCAAUUUAAGUUUCAUCAAAUGUAUUUUCUUCAUCAAAUAAAUUACUACUAUAGUCCUGAAAUGUACUUUUCAUAGACAUUCAUAUUGUAAGAUUUAGUUAGAAAAUUACUAAGAAAAUUACUAAGAAAUAUGGGAUCAUAGUAUGACUUGGAAAUUAUAAAACAAACAAAUGAACACUUAUUUCUUACUGCUAUUACACACUUUCAGUGAGGUUUUGCUAACAUACCUUCCAAAAGAAUAUCCCUACUUCAGAAAUAAUCAGAAUUUCUUAGUUUGACAGAACAAACGUUCUUACCACUCCUGAGAUUUACAUGAAUGAUUCAAAUGGACUGUUUUAAAGUUAUUUCAUCGGAGGUCCUUAUUCUUCCACUGUUCUUCUCAGAGGUGAAUGCUCUUUCCUGUAGGUCACUAUAAAAUUUGUUGGUGUUACCUGUUUCUAAUGUUAUUGUGUUGUUGCAAUAUUGCUGAAUGUGACCCUUACACUUCCCACAGACAGUUCCAAAGAACUGAAGAUGGGCAAAUCAAAGUUUAUAAAAUAAUAAAGGCAGGCAGUAUCAAAUAAACAGUCUGUCUCUGCAGCAGAGGGGCAGUUUAUUUUAGUGGUUUUCAAAGAUGAAAGCAAGUUUCAGUGACAGACUGUCCAUGUAAUACCAGAAGGUUGAAAAUAACAGAAACCAAGAGAUUACCCUGCUCUAAAGAUACUUCAAGUACAAGGAACCAGUGAGUGCAAAUGUUAUUCUGCCAGAAAGUAAGGGAAGAAGAAAAAAAAAAAAAAAAGGGUAACAGAAGGAAAGGAGUCAUACAAGUCAUACAAACUGAAAACAGGUGUAUCAUAUGGCUAUCGUGAGUUGGUGUUUUUGUUUUGUUUUGUUUUGUUUUUAUUGUGAGUUGGUGCUUUUUGGUGUUGUUUUCUUGUUUGUUUUGUUGUUGUUGUUGUUGUUUUUUCCAGCCCAAUGACCAUUAAAAUGUGUGUGAAAAGAUUCAGCAUCUUUCUCUGUCUUCUCCUGUAAUAGAUCUCAUUUCAGUUACACAGGAAAGAACAGGAAAAACAAAAAGAAAACAACAACAACAAAAAAAUCAAAGUACUCUUUUUUAACUUGAGAAUAAAGUACCAGCAAAAUAAAAAGGUUCCAGUCUAGCCAAGUCCAUCUCAUAUUACAGCUUUUAAAUGAUUAUUUUACCAUUCUAAAGCCUUUAUAAAUCUUCCACAUGUGUACAGCUGUCUUGCUAAGCCUCAAGUUCAAUUACUGCAAAUUGUGGUUUAGUGCAGGAUAUGGUGCUGUAUACUAAAUACAGGUCCUCCACAUAGGUUAUUAUACAUCCAUAGUACAUUGCAUGUAUAUUUUGAUAGCACAAAACCUGAGAGUUUUAUUUCUUGCAAGAUUAUCUGCUAAGAUUAAUAACAAUUAUAUAGUUAUAUAUAGUGGGUUUUACAUAUGGCUAUGUGCUACUAAAGUUUUCCAAGUGCAGCUGGAACAUAAAAAGGGCAGAAGUGGAGUUAACAGAAGUUGGUUCCUAUUAUUAUGGACUUGGAUGGUUAAUAUAGAGUUGAGCACACUGUAAAUCCACCUCAAUUUCCUGUCUACCUAAUUCAAGAAUGACCUAAAAAUCUCUGAUUGCUAUAAAUACCAAUGAAGGAAAUCACUAUUUAGAGAAUAAAGAGGGAAAAUACAUAUUUAAAAAAUGCAGAAAUAUCUAAUAUAGGCCAAAUAUAUGAAACUGUCUCCUGAUCUUGGUGAUCUUUUAGAAUGUUUUGGGGUAUUUGUUUGGUUUUGUUUGAUUGUUCAUUUUGGUUUCUUGUUGUUUUUCUGAGGACAAUGGUAAGAACUUUUGGUGUGGAAUUUUUAAAAUGCAAAAUUAUGGCAUAGACAAUAGGAUGGACUGAACUCUCAGAAAGUUUGCAGAUGACACCAAGCUGAGCGGUUCAGUUGAUAAAUCAGAAGGAAGGUCCAAAGGGACCUGGACAAGCUUGAGAAUUGGGUCCACAUGAACCUAAUGAGGUUCAACAAGUCCAAAUGUAAGGUGCUACACCUAGGUCAGGGAAAUACUAGACAUGAGGACAGACUGGGAGAACUCAUUGAGAACAUCCCUGAGAGAAGGACUUGGGAGUUCUGGUGGAUCAAAAGUUUUUCAUGAGCAAGCAGUGCACACUUGCAGCUCAGAAGGCCAACUGCAUCCUGGGCUGCAUCAAUGGAGGAGUGACCAGCAAGUUGAGGAAGAUGAUUGUGCCCCUUUAUUAUGGCCUUGGACCCAGCUGGAAUACUGCAUCCAGGUCUGGGUUCUCCAGCACAAGAAUAAUGUUGAUCUGUUAGAACAGAUCCAGAGGAGGGCCACAAAGAUUAUCAGAGGUCUGGAGCACCUCUCAUUUGAAGAAAGGGUGAGAGAGGUGGAGUUGUUCAGCCUGAAAAAUAAAAGGCUCAAGGGUGACCUCAUUGCAGCUUUGCAAUACUUAAAGGGGGCUUAUAAACAAAACAGAGAACAACUAUUUGGUUGGGCAAAUAAUGACAGGAAAACGGGAAGUGGUUCUUAACUAAAAGAGGGGAGGUUUAGAUUAGAGGUUUGGAGGAAAUUCAUAACUCAGAGGGUGGUGAGACACUGGAACAAUUUGCCCAGAGAAGUUGUUGAUGCCCCAUUCCUGGAAGUGUACAAAGCCAGGUAGGAUGAGGCUCUGGGCAACCUGGUCCAGUGGUAGAUGGCCCUGCCCAUUGCAUGGGGGUUGGAACUAGAUGAUUUUUAAGAUCCCUUCUAACCGAAACCAUUCUGUGAAAGCUAGUGACCAUGAGCCGAGAACUCUUUCUGGUUUGCGGUUAUGUGACACGUAACAUGUUUUGAAAAUCCCAGCAGGCUACUAGCAUGGCUGCUUAUUGGCCAUGUUGAUGGGCAGAGGAGUUGCUCUUGCAAAUAUAGCCAUCUGCUUCAUAGUGCAGUAAACCUGAUUACACCAGUUAUGGAUCCAAAGCUCUGUUAAGCAACUAUUUAUAUCAUGGUACUGACAGACCCCAGGGAGAUACAUUAUAGCCACCUUCCUUGGGUAUUAUCUGUAAGAAGGGAGUAUAAACACAUAAUUUUUGUUCGUUAAUAUUUUAUAACAUUGGAUGCAUAUAUAGCAUUAUGUUUAUUUAUAAUUUAUAUUUAAUUGUGUAUAAAUACAUAUUAUACAUACAUUAUAUAAUAAUACUGAUCAUUGUAAUAAUGUAUGCAUGGUUAUAAUGUUCUAUGCUGUCUAUCUAUAUAUUUAUAUUUAGUUUGUAUGUAGAGAAGUUUGUUAUAAUUGUUCUUUUAUCUUGACAACAUCUGUUCUUAGAGAUGAAAGCUAUACCAUUUCUGACUAAGCUGACCCCCAGCAGUGUCAAAAGCCUCACCUUCUAACAACAAGUUUGUUGUUUUGAUAAC